AGCUUCCUUUGGAUUUUUGGGAAAAAGCACAAAACUGAAGAUGAGAAGACUGCCAUCCAAGAUCCAUCAAAAGCUGUGAUCCCCUUUCCCUCUGUUGCAACAACCAGCAAUGUUCCUCUGGUGACUUCUGGAUCAUUCUGGUGUCUCUGACGUGGGGCAGAGCCAUACCAGUCUUUUAUGGAUCUGUAAGGUUUAUUCCAGUGCUGUCCUCGCAGAGGUAACUGGGAAGUAUUUCAGCUGAGAUUUAAUAAGCUUUUGCUGAGCCUCUAGCAUAUGUGAGCCGCUGUACCAGAUAAUGUCACAUACACUAUUCCAUCCGAAUUCAAAGAACCCCUGUGAGCGAUGUGAAAUUCUACCCAUUUUACAGAUCAAGAAACUGAGGCUCAUAGAAGGGUGGAAAACACAAGAUUACAGAAACAACCAAGGACUCCAGACGCCAUGAGACCCAAGAGCCCUGGCUCCGGGACAUAAGGGACUUUGGGAGGACUCAAGGAGGACCUGAACACUCAUCUGUGUUGGACCAGUUCCUGGAUGCCUGAGAAGACAUGUACACCAGACCACCAUCCUCAGGAAGAACCCCUGACCCCAAGCAAAACUGAAAUUCUUCUUUCCUUUCUGAGUCACCCAGACACUGUCUGUACCUGCAUUCUCCAUCUACCCUCAAUAAACUCUACUCUCACUUCA